UAAAAUUGUUUAUCAGGUCAAGAUCUAUCUGCCCUGAAAUUUUCAGAUGAAUCGGACAACCUGUUGUUGGGUUGCUGCCCCUGAAUUGGUAAUUUUAAGGAAAUUUUGCUGUUUUUGGUUAUUAUCUUGAAUAUUAUUAUAGAUAGAGAUUAAACUGUAAACAGCAAUAAUGUUCAGCAAAGUAAGAUCUACAAAUAAGUCAACAUGACCAAAAUGGUCAGUUGACCCUUUAGGAGUUAUUGCCCUUUAUAGUCAAUUUUUAACCAUUUUUCGUAAAUCUUAGUAAUCUUUUACAAAAAUCUUCUCCUCUGAAACUACUGGGCCAAAUUAAUCCAAACUUAGCCACAAUCAUCUUUGGGGUAUCUAGUUUAAAAAAUGUGUCCGGUGACCCGGCCAACCAACCAAGAUGGCCGCCAUGGCUAAAAAUAGAACAUAGGG
rnacentral:lncRNA from 1 species